rnacentral:rRNA from 1 species
AUACGUAGGGGGCGAGCGUUGUCCGGAAUGAUUGGGCGUAAAGGGCGCGUAGGCGGCCCGGUAAGUCUGGAGUGAAAGUCCUGUUUUUAAGAUGGGAAUUGCUUUGGAUACUGUCGGGCUUGAGUGCAGGAGAGGUAAGUGGAAUUCCCAGUGUAGCGGUGAAAUGCGUAGAGAUUGGGAGGAACACCAGUGGCGAAGGCGACUUACUGGACUGUAACUGACGCUGAGGCGCGAAAGUGUGGGGAGCAAACAGGAUUAGAUACCCUGGUAGUCCACACUGUAAACGAUGAAUGCUAGGUGUAGGGGGUAUCGACCCCUUCUGUGCCGCAGUUAACACAUUAAGUAUUCCGCCUGGGGAGUACGCACGCAAGUGUAAAACUCAAAGGAAUUGACGGGG